UACGUAGGGGGCUAGCGUUGUCCGGAAUCAUUGGGCGUAAAGCGCGCGUAGGCGGUCAGGUAAGUCCGGUGUGAAAGUCAAAGGCUCAACCUUUGAAUGCCGCUGGAUACUGCCUGACUUGAGUCCGGAAGGGGCGAGUGGAAUUCCUGGUGUAGCGGUGAAAUGCGCAGAUAUCAGGAGGAACACCGGUGGCGAAGGCGGCAUCCUGGACCGGCAUUGACGCUAAAGCGCGAAAGCCAGGGGAGCAAACGGG
rnacentral:rRNA from 1 species